rnacentral:lncRNA from 1 species
UACCCCCAUUUGUUUCUUUUCCCGUUUCUUUUAAUUUCUGAUUUUUCCUUUGCUGUUCCCUCCCCCUCUGUUUCAUUCGCUCUUUGCUCAUUACCUGUGCAGAAGCUGUCUAUUGUAAUUUCUUUCUUCUUUUUCUGUUGUUUGCUCGAGUUUACCCCUUCUUUGCUCCCCAUAUUUGGCUGUGCUCUUGCUCCUCUCAUUUUGUUUUGGUUUUGGGGCUGUCAGUCUCUCCUCUUUGAGCUUUGUCAGAUCUCUUGGUACAGUCUCUAGGGGAGGAAUGUUAGCUUCCCUGUCCUCUGGAGGCUUUUGAUUGGAUUGAGUUCAAUUGGGUUGGGCUGUAUGCGGUAUGAAACUGAGGCUCUGAAAACACCUGGAAGGCUGGGCCGCCCAGGCUCUCUCCAGUUCUCUCCAGCUGCUUCUAGGCUGUCCGCAAGUGCCUUUGCCUUCCCCCUAAACUCUGAGAAGUUCUGAUUGAAUUGACUGGAUUGAUCUGGUUAUGCCCCGAGGCAAAAGUGAGACUGGAGCCGAAUGGAGGGACCCAGCCACGGCCCCCUCUCUCCCUGGCUUCCUCCCUGCUGUCCAAGCUGGAUUUUCCGAGCCCGGUGCCCCGCUGCUCUCAAGGGAAGAUUUGGUCUGACUCCAAGAUGAAAUCUGCCACCAAUCUACCCAGACUUGAGGUGAAGGUUAUCUUCAAGGCAUUGUCUCAGUGCUGCAGAAAGGGCUGAUUGUUUAUACCAGGAAUGUUUCUGUCAAGUUGGAUGGAGAAUGGCACAAAAUGUGAAGACAUACAUUGGUUAGUUGCUUUAUUCACUAAAGAGAUUAUACACAUUGAUGGGAGCUCUGAUCUAUAAAAGCAUCAAAGUGUGAAAUCAGGACUCUCGAUCUAACUCAUUUUUGCUCUGCUUCUGUGACAUUUGACAGUCCUGCAAGAAUCUGUAGAUUGCUGAGAAACCAGCAUCUACUCAACCUGCAAUAAUUAAUUUGCCUUUUAAAGUUUUAUUUCUUCCUAGAAUCUUCCAAUCACAAUUUGGUUACUGUAACUCAAGCUGGCAUACCUUAAUUUAUUUCCCAUCUUUGUAUACUUCCAUUCAUCUUGUUUACUACCUUCAUUUGAUUUUUGUGUUUCUUAAAAACAAUAUAAAAAUAUAAAUCCUUGUGCAGAUUGGGGAGAAUCCUCAUAGCCUCUUUCUAUGUUGAGAGACUUCUUCCUUUAUAACCAUAAAUACUGAGUUAUAUCUCUGCCAAGCAAGACAUUCUGAGCAUGGAGCCAAUUUUUGUUCAACAACAACAAAAUAUACAGAUGAAUAUUCUUGAAAGGAAAGUAG